rnacentral:lncRNA from 1 species
UUUUUUUUUUUUUUUAAAGAUUUUAUUUUUUCCUUUUUCUCCCCAAAGCCCCCCGGUACAUAGUUGUGUAUUCUUCGUUGUGGGUUCUUCUAGUUAAAACUUACAGGGGCUGGCCCCGUGGCCGAGUGGUUAAGUUCGCGUGCUCCGCUGCAGGCGGCCCAGUGUUUCGUUAGUUCGAAUCCUGGGCGCGGACAUGGCACUGCUCAUCAGACCACGCUGAGGCAGCGUCCCACAUGCCACAACUAGAAGAACCCACAACGAAGAAUACACAACUAUGUACCGGGGGGGGGCUUUGGGGAGAAAAAGGAAAAAAUAAAAUCUUAAAA